rnacentral:tRNA from 1 species
CUGGGUGGAUGACGGCGAAGCCUCAGCCUUCCAAGCUGAUGGUGCGGGUUCGAUUCCCGUCACCCGCUCCA